rnacentral:rRNA from 1 species
GCCAGCUGACUCUGAAUAGUUGGUGAAGCCUGCCCGCUGACAAGGAAUAAAAAACCUUGUUGAAGGGCCGCGGUAACUCUGACCGUGCUAAGGUAGCAUAAUCACUUGCCCUCUAAUUAGGGGCUAGAAUGAAAGGCUUUACGAGCCCUCCCCUGUCUCAGCCGUAGUGUUAGCGAAAUUAAAUAGCCUGUAAAGAUUCAGGCUUCCCUUGGUCAGACGAGAAGACCCCGUUGAGCUUGAUUCCUAUCUCUCUUUGUAAAUAGCACAAAGAGCCGAUCGUCUAAGAGAGUGAAAGAAUUUGGUUGGGGCGACCCCCCGAACGUAAGAAACUCGGGGAAGCAAUGGUUAUACCUAAGGCAGCCUGCUUAACUGGUAGGAUGACAGUCCAGCCAGAUAACUGAUUGUUAGGCGCUAAAGUCCCAUUGGUAAUAGCCAAUGAUCAUGAAUAAAAGUUACCACGGGGAUAACAGGGUAAUCUUUCCCUAGAGUUCUUAUCGUAGGAAAGGUUUGCCACCUCGAUGUUGAAUAGCAGUGUCCUUGAGGUGCAGAAGCUUCGUAGGGUUGGUC